rnacentral:tmRNA from 1 species
GGGGCCGUUUUGGAUUUGACAGGGUGGAGGUACGUAUGUUAGCAUGCAGUGCGUUGUACGGAGAGCACUUUAAAGAGAACGUUCACACUUUGAUUGGCGAAAAUAACUACGCCUUAGCUGCUUAAUUUAGAAUUAAAUAGCUUUUGUCCUUCUGGUUGCUGCGUUUUUAGGCCAGAAUCAAGGGCAUCGAAAUAAAUGACGCUGGCAAUUGUAAGGUACGGUACAGUUGUGAGAUAAAGUAUCUAAGGAGAAAGGCAAGGUAGGUUUCCGGCCCGUCUGAUCCCGAAAAUAAAGUGGAAAAUAAGCAUGUAGAAGGCAUAAUUUGCUACACAACUGGACAAGGGUUCGAACCCCUUCGGCUCCACCA